CGUAACACGUAUGUAACCUACCUUUACCAGGGGGAUAGCCUCUCGAAAGAGAGAUUAAGACCGCAUAAUAUGAAGACACAGCAUUGUGAUUUCAUCAAAUAUUUAUAGGGUAAAGAUGGGCAUGCGGAACAUUAGCUAGUUGGUAAGGUAAUGGCUUACCAAGGCUACGAUGUUUAGGGGAUCUGAGAGGAUGACCCCCCACACUGGUACUGAGACACGGACCAG
rnacentral:rRNA from 1 species